AGAGAGUCUGUGUAGCUAUCUAUCAUCUGAUCAUUCAGUUGUUUCUUUCGAUCAAAGAGCACAUACCAAACGGAAAAAUCACAAUUUCGUGUUUCAAUUUGUGACUAUAAAAUAAUUUAUAAAUAAUUUCAUUAAAAAUGAAAAAAAGCACCGGUGUUCACUGCCCUCCAGUGGUCACAAAGGGAAACUGCAAGACAUUAAAUUCGUCAAGGGGCAGCAUCACGCACGCGGUAGCAGGCCUACACUUUCAUGAAAGACUUUCAAAUUAAAAAGGAAAUUAGGCUGAGGUGUGGACACCCACUUCAGUGUGGGAAAACGGAUGUUACGUUUGAAGCAUGUGUAAAAAGCGAGGUUUGUCGCACGAUUUUGCUGUGUUUAAAGAUAAUUGCGAUUUCAAAUGUCAUUACCAUGCGGGAUAUGACAGUGGUCAUCAGUAAUAAACCUGCUAAAUUGGCUCGGUAAAGCCAGAGUCUGACAGUUUUUCAUGGGGAAGGAAGCCCGAGGAAACGCGCCAGCCGGAGCUCCAUGCAGACAGCAAAGGCGGGAGUUUUGACACUGCAGUGAAAUAAUUAGUUAUUUAAACAGCAGGAUGGCCCAUCUUCUCUCUCCAAGUGAACUCCAAAUGGAUUACCGCCUCAUGAAAGACCAGAUUGUGAGAGAAUAUUUGUUACUGCUCUGACUGGACAUUGCGAUCAUGAAGAUUUGUAACCACAAUGUGUAACCGGAUACACUGAGUGAACGCGCUGACCUGCAGGCCAUCAAACCUGCAGUGACUUCUGGCUUUGGAGUGUGGCCUGCUGAGAAGACCUCAGAAGCUUCUCUAGAUCUGGAACCAGUCUGGUCCCAUCCUCCAGGGUUUUGAGAAACUCGACCUGGAACUCAACCAUUUCCGGCUGGGUAAACUCAGGCACACAGUGUGAGUGUGAAGAUCUGGCCAUUUCCAGCAGCACUGUAAAUGAGUCUUGAUAAUCCUCCAGACCAGGGAGAGAGCAAAGGAGCAGGAGGAAGAGUCUCCUCCUCAAGGUUAGGGUGGAGCAGGAUUGGCUGGAGCUGAGGGGGACACGGUGAAGGACAAGGACGAGGAGAGGAAACAAGCACAAGAGCCAGCGCCAUCAUGUGAAGAAUGCGUUGUCAGAUGUUUUCUGCGGUUGUACUCAAUCAGACUCCACCAAUAAGUAAUGAAAUGGGGCUCUUACCUUUCUGCACUCAUCAAACUCGCUAAAGAUCUCAGAGUCAUCGUCCAGGCUGUCUCCUGAGCUCUCGAGCAGCAGUCCGACCCCGUCAUCCAGGAUCUCCUCUGCCAUGAACAAAACUGUGUGUGAGCCUCAAGAAAUGUUGUAUAGGAUUUUCUUUUCUUUUUUUUUUAAUGAGAUGCAAGCAUUUUUGACCAGCACUGUGAAGUAGGUGAAGAAUGUUGUACUUGCCUUCUAAUUUUUUUAUUAAAGUUUAUGAC